rnacentral:misc_RNA from 1 species
GAACGCAUAUUGCACUUUCUGGUUUUCCAGGAGUAUGCCUGUUUGAGGGUCAGUUAAAUAAAAAUCGAGGUUGUUGCUGCCUUUUGUGGUGACGCUUCGGAAUUGGGUCGUCUUUGCCUUUGGUUAAGUGACCUAAAAUUUAAUAUGAUUUUCGAACGUAUUUAAAUCCAUUACGUACGUUUGUGAUAAUCGAAUAUUAGGGGUGGCCAUCCUUAUGGUUCGCGCCUAUAAUUUUUCAUCAAUUGACCUCAAAUCAGGUAAGAGUACCCGCUGAACUUA